UACGUAGGGUGCAAGCGUUGUCCGGAAUUAUUGGGCGUAAAGAGCCCGUAGGCGGUUUGUCGCGUCGUCUGUGAAACCUCGAGGCUUAACCUCGAGCCUGCAUUCGAUACUGGGCGGCUAGAGUCUGGUAGGGGGAUCUGGAAUUCCUGGUGUAGCGGUGGAAUGCGCAGAUAUCAGGAGGAACACCGGUGGCGAAGGCGGGAUCCUGGGCCAGUACUGACGCUGAGGAGCGAAAGCGUGGGGAGCAAACAGG
rnacentral:rRNA from 1 species